UUUCAUUUUAAUGAGAAAAGAAUGAGAACCAAACAGGGGCUAUAAUUGUCAAUUUUUUACUAUUACGUCAAUUCUCAAUAGUAAGCAUAAAUUGUAAUUAUCUAUUAUCUUAAAAUACAUUUACUUUCUUAAAAUUGUUCAUUAAUAAAUGUUAUCUAUUUUCAAUAAGUUAUCGAUAAUAACAAUAGAUAUGUAUUAAGUAAAAAAAGCGUUGUUAUCUAUUACCAAUAAUAAGUAUUAAAAGAGUAUAAAAUCAAUAAAAUUCUUCUUCUUCUCAUGUCAUAAGUAUCCAAUAUGUAUUGAAAAUUUAAAAAAUUUAAAACAAUUAGAAAACGCGUAUCAGGUACGUAUUAGAGCGUAUCCGAGCAUACCCAAUCUUGGAUACUAUCGAAUAUGGGUAUGCAAUAAGUUUACAUGUAUUUGAGCUUCUUAGAAGAUGACACUCUUGGAACUCACUCCCCUCCCUAUCCACCAAUGGUGGAUUCAGGGAGGGAUGGACCAGCAGCACAGUUUUGAUUUCAAAUCAAACAUUUUUAACACUAGCAAGCGUCCUAAGAAGAAACUACACAAAUAUGUCGACACAAGAUUUUACGAAAAAUUUCAACCUAAUACGUCAUUGACACGUUGAUUAAAAUGCUAUUUUUUUAAUUUUUAAUUUCCUUAAUUUAAUAGUCUAAAGUAAUAAAAAUUAUACUUAUAAAAAUUAUACGUAUUACGUCAAAUAUUAGUAGUUGAAUGACAAAUAUAAAUCAAACCUGACAUAAAAGAAAAGGCAAUUUCGCUUCCUUUACAAGUUUGAUUUUUAAUUGGAGUAAAAAUGAUAAAUUAUAGUGGUUAUAGAGUUACCUUUCUUUUUAGAUUUAAAAAACCACCUUUUUUAGAAAGUGGUAAUUGAAUUGUUAAAAAAAGAGCAAAUUUAAUUCUCAUUUACAAUAAAACCAAACACGCCUCUUCAAUUUUUCUAUAAAUUGGGUUUCUCCAAUUCUUCUUAAAAACUAGGGCUUUACGCAUUGAAAAGCCGCUUCUUCAGUUCUUGAACAAAACUGCCGCAAGGGACCUCAAUGUUAGAGACGUAAUUUCGUCGAUACAAAUUGUACACCGAUACGCCAACGGCCAACAACGUGUCAAUGCUUCACUUCUCAUGUCCAAAAUAAGAGCAGCAAGUGUGCCCUUUAGCCCAAAUCCAUCAAAAUUAGAUACAUCAUAUCCGAUCCCUCUCUACAUCAGUCUCUCGUCUACAUUGAUGAGUCUAGUUCGAUUCUUUAGCCAUUCUCAAGGUUAAGUUCAAGAAUCCAAGAACUCAAAAAGGAUUUGAAGGAAAGUUUAUUGAAGGUUUCCAGUGUAGAAACAAUUAACGAUCUACGGUUUGACUUCGUAGAGUCACAGCAUCAUCAACAGAAUCUUGAGGCAUCCAAAUACAAAAAAAGGGCUAUUAUUAGGAUACUAUGUUGCUAAAGGUAAGCCUCUUCUUAUUUUACUAGCUUUAUUGAACAAAAUGUCACUUGAUGUACAGAUUAAUUCUUCAUAGACAUGGCAUGAGGGUUUCAUGAAAAUUCCAGCAUUUUUUUAACAACUUGAAUGCAAUUUCUGGUUAUUAAAAAAACAUAUUUCAGAUUUCUUUGAUUAAUCGUUUGGUGUUCAUUUAAUUUUUUGAACUGAUUUGGAUUCUGAAGGUUUAAGGUCUUCAUGAUUGUUCUAUGACCAACAAAGAGGAACAGAAAAAUCUGCAAAUAUAAAUCUGAAGUCCUAACAGAAUAAAGGGAUAAUUUACGCUUGCAGUCCAGAUUAUAACCAGUUUUUCUCCUUUGUUUGAUGACCCCAAUUUAGAAAAAACCUACCACCACUAGUUCUACUGAAUUGUUGUUGGAUCAGUUACCCCCGCAAAUUCCAACAUACUAAUUCUAAUCGCUGAAGUCAAAAAAGGGGGAAAUCUUAAAACAAUAAGC